rnacentral:rRNA from 1 species
GACAGAGGCCUCAAGCGUUAGGCGGAAUCACUGGGCUUAAAGCGUGUGUAGGCGGAUGCCUAAGUACCUUGUGAAAUCCCGCGGCUCAACCGUGGAACUGCUGGGUAUACUGGGCGUCUUGGGCCAUUCAGGGGCGACUGGAACAAGCGGUGGAGCGGUGAAAUGCGUAGAUAUCGCUUGGAACGCCGAAGGUGAAAACAGGUCGCUGGGGAUGUGCCGACGCUGAGACACGAAAGCCAGGGGAGCAAACGGG